GUUGUCCGCAAAGGCUGCAGCGACUAUCCCAGUGUCCUGCGUUUUGACUCUUCCACAAGGAUAUGCAGGAGUUUUCAGAAAAGAUUUCUUAAGAAUUCUUCAAAGACAUCGUUUAAGCAGUGAAGCACAAACAGAAGAAUCUUCUAUAGUUCUAUCUAGAUUACUCUUCUCUGGGCUGAAUUUUUUCAGUAUGAGUUUGCUUAUCACACACAUUGGAGUUGGAGAAUUUGGCUAUUUCCCCAAAAGAUUAGAGCCCAGAACCUCUGAGACAGGUCCAAUCUUGGAGAGGUAAACGAACUCCAAAUCAACACUUUAUAAAUGGUUUGUCUAGCAGCAUGAUGUUUCCAAUUGAAAAUGAAGAUUUUUCUACCUAAUCAACACACACUUCGAAAAGAAGUAAAGGAAGCCAUCAAUCUAGCAAUUUCUCUCAUUAAAUGGAUA